rnacentral:ncRNA from 2 species
UCAAUAAAUUAUAUAAAUACUCGUAUAAUCGCAGGGAUAUGGCCUGCAAGUUUCUACCGAAUUACCGUAAAUGAUUCGACUACGAGUGGAUGAUAACUAUUU